rnacentral:rRNA from 1 species
UACGUAGGGUGCAAGCGUUGUCCGGAAUUAUUGGGCGUAAAGAGCUCGUAGGCGGUCUGUCGCGUCUGCUGUGAAAACCUGGGGCUUAACCCCGGGCCUGCAGUGGGUACGGGCAGACUAGAGUGUGGUAGGGGAGACUGGAAUUCCUGGUGUAGCGGUGAAAUGCGCAGAUAUCGGGAGGAACACCGGUGGCGAAGGCGGUUCUCUGGGCCUUACCUGACGCUGAGGAGCGAAAGCGUGGGGAGCGAACAGG